rnacentral:rRNA from 1 species
AGAGGAAGUAAAAGUCGUAACAAGGUCUCCGUUGGUGAACCAGCGGAGGGAUCAUUACUGAGUUCUUACAAACUCCAACCCUUUGUGAACCAUACCAACUGUUGCCUCGGCGUGAGCUGCGGCUGCCUGGUAGCUACCCGGUAGUCGCCUACCCGGUAGCUACCCUGUAGCGUCUGCGUACAGGCCUGCCGAAGGACCACCAAACUCUGUUUGACAGUGUAUUCUGAAUGCUUCAACUAAAUAGUUAAAACUUUCAACAACGGAUCUCUUGGUUCUGGCAUCGAUGAAGAACGCAGCGAAAUGCGAUAAGUAAUGUGAAUUGCAGAAUUCAGUGAAUCAUCGAAUCUUUGAACGCACAUUGCGCCCAUUAGUAUUCUAGUGGGCAUGCCUAUUCGAGCGUCAUUUCGACCCUGAAGCCCUAGUUGCUUCGCGUUGGGACUCUACUGGCUACCCUGUAGUUCCCUAAUGACAGUGGCGGAGUUCAGGUGUACUCUCAGCGUAGUAAUUUCUUCUCGCUUUUGCAGUAGCCUGGUCGCCGGCCGUAAAA